rnacentral:rRNA from 1 species
UGAACGCUAGCGGCAGGCUUAACACAUGCAAGUCGAGGGGUAACAGGAGUAGCAAUACUUGCUGACGACCGGCGCACGGGUGAGUAACGCGUAUGCAACCUACCUCUAACUGAGGCAUAGCCCGGAGAAAUCCGGAUUAAUACCUCAUAAUAUUUCGAAUUCGCAUGUUUUCGAAAUUAAAGCUUUGGCGGUUAGAGACGGGCAUGCGUGACAUUAGUUAGUUGGUGAGGUAACGGCUCACCAAGACUGCGAUGUCUAGGGGGUCUGAGAGGAUGGUCCCCCACACUGGUACUGAGACACGGACCAGACUCCUACGGGAGGCAGCAGUGAGGAAUAUUGGGCAAUGGACGCAAGUCUGACCCAGCCAUGCCGCGUGCAGGAUGACUGCCCUAUGGGUUGUAAACUGCUUUUAUUUGGGAAGAAACCCCUGCUCGUGAGCAGGGCUAACGGUACCAAAAGAAUAAGCAUCGGCUAACUCC